rfam:Lysinibacillus xylanilyticus strain DSM 23493 Scaffold6, whole genome shotgun sequence.
CGGAAUGUAGCUCAGCUUGGUAGAGCACUUGGUUUGGGACCAAGGGGUCGUAGGUUCGAAUCCUGUCAUUCCGA